GUGUGUGUUGGAGAUAGCUUUCUUUGGGCCUGGCCUAUGUGGCAGGAAACAGGCUAAGUUUCGUUUAGGCUGCUAGAGUGCCAAUAUUGGCUUCAUUCACUCAUAUUUAUUCAGAGCCUAUGAUAGGUGCUAGGCCUCCCCCUCUUAGCACUGGAGAUGUAAUGGAGAAUAAGACAUAUAGUCCCUGCUCUCAAGGACUCUACAGUCUAAUACUGGGACAAAGAAACAGACCAUCAUGGUAGAGUUUAUCACUAUAUUAGGAGAAGUUGAGGGAGUUUCAGCUUUAUGAUAGCGGUUGCUUCCUAGGGCUGCCAUUCUUACAUCGCUUAGAGUUCUCUUUUUCCUGGCCAGUCCCUCAAUACUCCAAUCUCCUGUUACAGUUAAUAAGUCUUAUAGUAAUCUUUCGCUGUUUAUGUUACACUAUGGCUUCUUUCUCCUGAUUGAACCCAGAAUGAUACAUAAUUAGUACCAGUAGCGGAAUUCCUUGGGGUUCAGUGGUCUGGAGCAUGUUGAAAUAUCCUGCCCCGGGUGAAAGAUGAGUUGCUUUAUCUUGUAUCACCUCCAAGAAAAAAGAGGCACAACGCUUGAUAGGUCAUUUUGGAUUUUGGAGGCAACGUACGUACACCACAAUUGAGUGUGUGACUUCAGCCCGUAUACAGGCUGGUGGCUGGGGGAGCAGAACAAGAGAAGGCCCUGCAGCACGUCCACGCUGCUAUACAAGUUGCUCCACCACGUGGGUCUUAUGAUCCAACAGAUCCAAUGGUACUUGAAGUGUCAAAUAGAGAGGCUGUAUGGAGCCUCUAGCAAGCACCAAUAGGAGAAUUACAGUGCAGACCUCUAGGAUUUUUAAGCAAAUCUAUGUCCUUUUCUGCAUAUCACUAUUCUCCUUUAGAGAAGCAGGCACUGAAUGCCUAACCAUGGGACAUCAGGUGAUCAUGCAGCUUGAGUUCUCAUUAUGAUAUCGAUAUUGUCUGACCUCCCUAGUUAUAAGGUUGGGUGUGCGCAGCAGCAAUCUCUCAUCAAGUGGAAAUGGUAUAUAAGGGGCUGAACUCAGGCAGGUCUAUUAGGUACAAGUAAAUUGCAUGAGCAGAUGGCUCAGGCUCCUGCAACACCAACUCCUGUGGCAUUGCCUCCUCCCUUAUCCCAUGCCUAUGGGCUCCAGGGGGUUGCUUAUGACAGUUGACUGAUGGAGAAAAACUCCAGCCUGGAUUAUAGAUGGGUCUAUGUGAUAUGCUAGUAUCACAUGAAAGUGGACAGCUGUAGCAUUCCAGCCCCACUCAGGGAUGACUGUGAAGACAGUGGUGAAGGAAAAUCCUCCCAGUGGGCAGAAAUUCAAGCCGGAUAUUUGAUUGUCCACUAUGUCUGGGGUGAGAGAGGGCCAGAGCACAGAUCUACAUUGAUUCAUGGGCAGUUGCUGAUGGUUUUGCUGGAUGGUCAGAGCCUUGAAAGGAAGAGGAUUGGAAGAUUGGUGACAAGGAAAUCUUAGAAAGAGGAGAAAACCUCUAUAACAUCUUAACAGAAAGCAGAAGGGCAAGAAUAAUAUGUAGAUACUUCUUGAUCAUCCAAUUAACCAGCAAACUUAGAAGGACGAUGCAAAUAUAUUUAGACAAAGAACUGGAGGGAGGAGGAAACAUUAACCAGAGGCCAUAAACCUAAUUCGACAUCUUAUCUGGGCAGGAUUCCUUUCUGAUUGUCUCAAAUGGGACUGUGUGCUCCUCCAAUAAUUAACUGAAAAAUAUCUUGAUAGUUACCUGCAGGUGGUCACAUUCUCUUACUAUAUUUAAUUUUCCCGGGAGGUAGUGCCUCCCAAGCAGCCAACGAAAGGAGUGAAAACUGGAGGUUAAGAAAGGAAAAGGAAUGAAGGGCAAUUAGAAGCAGCACAGGUUUCAGAAUUAUGUGAGGGGCUGGCCAGUUAUUCUUCACCAAGGGGCGACCCUGCACCCCUCGGCGUUAAUCGGCUGGACCCUGUCAAACAGCCGAUCAAAUGAUGUAGCCACGGCUCCCAGCAGACUGUGAAGAUACUCAUGUACCAUGUGAAUGCCCCCAAAUGGAAACCACUGCAGAGGAGCCUCUUAACAAUCAGAUGGACAAAAUUCGGUGCCCUGUGGAUGUCAGAGAGCUUCUUUAGCCAGCUACUGCAUCUCUUGCUCUAUGGGCCCAUGAACAAAGUGGCCAUGGCAGGAGAGAGGAUGUGACAACUAUGGAAUUCUCCCUACAAAGGCUGAGCUGGCUAACGCUACUGCUGGGGGCCUGACUUGCCAAUGCCAGUGGUUCCUUUCUACGAGCCAAAUGAAUUUUGUCAGACGGGAAUAUAAAACUGUGUACAUCACAUUCCCAUUUGGACUCAUUUUGACAUCUUAUGCGUUCCCUCAUUAAUUACUAAGUUAAAU
rnacentral:lncRNA from 1 species